GUUAUGUAAAAGAAUGGGACCUUGUUACCUGUUUAUGUAUACGCAAGUUUUGUGGUCAUAAUGGAGCGGUUUAUUGCGUUAGGGCUUCUACCCAACGUGUUAUCACUUCCUCGGAAGAUAAAACUGUAAGAGUUUGGGACUUGGUUCAUAAAAUACCAAAUGUCGGUGAAGCGUCUGAAUAUAGAAAUAACACCAUCAUACAAUCGGAAGUAAUAAACGAAUGCGAGUUGUUAAAUUUGUCGUUUUCAGCACGUGUUGGAAUUUAAUCACUUUAAAAUUUAAAAAGUGUUAUCUGCAAUAUUUUUUCGAU
rnacentral:lncRNA from 1 species